UACGGAGGGUGCAAGCAUUGAUCGGAAUUACUGGGCGUAAAGGGCGCGUAGGCGGCUUAGAAAGUCGGAUGUGAAAUUCCGGGGCUCAACCCCGGAGCUGCAUUUGAAACUCCUAAGCUAGAGUUCAGUUAGGGUAAACGGAAUUCCACGUGUAGCGGUGAAAUGCGUAGAUAUGUGGAAGAACACCGGUGGUGAAGACGGUUUACUGGGCUGAGACUGACGCUGAGGCGCGAAAGCAUGGGGAGCAAACAGG
rnacentral:rRNA from 1 species